AGUGAACGCUGGCGGUAGGCCUAACACAUGCAAGUCGAACGGCAGCACAGUAAGAGCUUGCUCUUACGGGUGGCGAGUGGCGGACGGGUGAGGAAUACAUCGGGAUCUACUUUUUCGUGGGGGAUAACGUAGGGAAACUUACGCUAAUACCGCAUACGACCUACGGGUGAAAGCAGGGGAUCUUCGGACCUUGCGCGAUUGAAUGAGCCGAUGUCGGAUUAGCUAGUUGGCGGGGUAAAGGCCCACCAAGGGGACGAUCCGUAGCUGGUCUGAGAGGAUGAUCAGCCACACUGGAACUGAGACACGGUCCAGACUCCUACGGGAGGCAGCAGUGGGGAAUAUUGGACAAUGGGCGCAAGCCUGAUCCAGCCAUACCGCGUGGGUGAAGAAGGCCUUCGGGUUGUAAAGCCCUUUUGUUGGGAAAGAAAAGCAGCAGGUUAAUACCCCGCUGUUCUGACGGUACCCAAAGAAUAAGCACCGGCUAACUUCGUG
rnacentral:rRNA from 1 species